CCUACGGGGGGCAGCAGUGGGGAAUAUUGGACAAUGGGCGAAAGCCUGAUCCAGCCAUGCCGCGUGUGUGAAGAAGGCCUUCGGGUUGUAAAGCACUUUCAGUGGGGAAGAAAGCCUUGGGGCUAAUACCCUCGAGGAAGGACAUCACCCACAGAAGAAGCACCGGCUAACUCCGUGCCAGCAGCCGCGGUAAUACAGAGGGUGCGAGCGUUAAUCGGAAUUACUGGGCGUAAAGCGCGCGUAGGCGGUCUGAUAAGCCGGUUGUGAAAGCCCCGGGCUCAACCUGGGAACGGCAUCCGGAACUGUCAGGCUAGAGUGCAGGAGAGGAAGGUAGAAUUCCCGGUGUAGCGGUGAAAUGCGUAGAGAUCGGGAGGAAUACCAGUGGCGAAGGCGGCCUUCUGGACUGACACUGACGCUGAGGUGCGAAAGCGUGGGUAGCAAACAGGAUUAGAUACCCGUGUAGUC
rnacentral:rRNA from 1 species